GAGGGGGAAGAUUAGAGAGAGACAAAGGAAAGAGAGAUGGGAGGGAGGGAAGGUUUUGACUGGGAAGAGAAUUCGAGAAAGAGGCGGGGAGAGAUGAAAAUAUCUCCAAAAAUACUAGAGCAAGAGACAUCUCAGCCGUUUAUUAAGAUUGGACCGCUAAGAUUGUCUUAUGAGAAAACAUUAGGAGAGAGUUAUGAGGAGAGGAUCCAGAACCCUCGAACAUUUCACUUGUUUUAUGAAUAAGAAAAAACAAAUUACAAAGAAUAACUCCUAAAACGGCAUAAGUUAAGAAAAUCAAAAUCAAAGCAUGAAGAGAAUGAGUUAGACUGUUAUGUCAACUAGCAACAGUUGAGGUGUGUCCGUGAGCCAGUAUCGCACCUGCUAAGAAGUGUUGAUGUCUCCGUUAAGCAGUAAUCACUUCUCUCCUGAUGUGUUGGUAGCUAGUAUCUUGAUGUCUUGAACAAUAGUGUGUAUACGCCAAGGAAUAUGAGUCUUGUUGUUGAUAGACUCGUUGAGUAAUUUUGAAUCUCCUUCAACUUUUAAUCUCGUGUAUCAUGUAGGACCGCAACAAUCAAACCGGCUCUUAAAGCUAGAGCCUUUGAAAGUAAGACAUUUGAUUUGCCAGGAUUCUUUGAAGAAGCUAGAAUAGGAUAUCCUUGAUCAUUUUGGAAAACAAAAUCAGCAGCACCAUCAUUUGAAGCAAGCACAACACCAUCAAAAUUCAGCUUCAAAAAUUUGCAGGUGGAGGAUUCCAUCUAACAACAGUAUCAUUGUGUUUUUUCUGAGAUCGUAAUUUAAAAUUGAAACAAUAAGUUUUGAGCAGAUUUAUAGCAGUGAAACAGAUUUGUAUAUAGGGGAUUUACUAACAUCUCUAAAAACUGCAUUAUUUCUAGCAAACCAAAUGGCAUAACAUAUGAUCAAAAUAUUAGAGAACAAAUAAGCAUGGUGUGUGUGAUGAUGUAAAUCAGAAUGUUGGAGCCAGUGAAGGAAGUCAUUAUUAUAUUGAAGUAAAUUCAUAUGAAUAUAAGAAUGCUGUCAAAUAGAUUUAGUGAAAUGACAAAAACCAAAGAGAUGAUUCAGAGUUUCAAUUUCAGAAUGACAAAAAUGGCAAGAUCUGUGGAUAGCCAUGUUUGUAAAAAUUUGAUCUCUAAUCAUGAGUCUCCCUCUAAUCAAUUGCCAGGCAAAUACCUUACAAUUUGGUGAGAUAGGUAAUUUCCACAUCUUAACAAGAAGUGUUGAUCGCGAAUGCGUGACCGAUAAGUAUCAAUAUCGGCGAGGUUGGCCACGAGAAGCUCUACAAAGAAGUCUUUAACUUUUUAUUUUUUUUAUAGAUAGAGGUAUAAUGGAAUUUUAAAAAGAGAAAUUUUAUUAACACAUCCCUAGUUACUAGAUACACAUCUCAUACUUAAUACACUACCUAUUAACUUUCUUGUUUUAACAUUUUACUAGAUACACAUACUCAAACUUCCUACAAUACCCUAAUUUAACAUACACAACAUAUUUACUAAAUACACAACUCAUUCACUACACAUACUUUUCUAGAUCUGCUACAUAAUUUAUUCAUGUACGUUACUGAGAUUUUUCUCAAAAUGUGUCAUCUUUCCUCGUACUGUUUCACCUCAUUGACAUAUUUCUUGAAAGUUUUUAUUUUUUCUCUAAAGGGUUUCACCUUGUUAAGAUAUUUCUCGAGAGAUUUCCCUUUGUUAACAUCUUCUCAUCAGUUUUCCUCGACAAAUUUUCUUCUAUAGGAGUUUUUUACUCAAAUUGAUUUCAAGAUUUUUUGAGUCUACCGAAUCAAAACAA
rnacentral:lncRNA from 1 species